UGUAUAAUAUCUGAUCCGGAAUGUCCUAACAAAAAAUUGCACUGAAUUUAUAGCUGAGAGAUGAAACACUUCCAGAAGAUGUCUGAAGAACUCUGCAGGUCAUGGGGGGAAUGGCAGACCUUCCUGCCUGGGAGGUGGUGGCUGAAAAUACAGCUUUUGAUUCAGGUCUUUCAUUGCUUCUUCUCCCAUCAUCCUGAACUUGCUCUGAUAGACUAGACUGGGAACUAACUAAUUACAGAGAUCUCAGACCAAGCCGUCCUCUUACUAAGGUCAUGGCACAGUCAAAGCUCUGUCCUUCCUUAUUAAAGUGAUAAGAGAUGACCCAAAGAGAGAGGGAAAACAAAGGCUCCUGUGAUAAUGACAGUCAGCCAGUCAAUCACUGAACAGGGAAAAGUGUGUGUAUAGCGGGUACCCAGUGCCACAUUCACACAAGCCCUGGGAUAGACCACGCCCACAAAGCACCCACUUGAACUGAAGAGACAACAGCGAGAAUACAGAGAUUUCUGCUGCAUGCUAGUUAAUCAGGAACUCCAAACCAAAGCCAAAGCGUAGACAGACCACACAAAAGUAUUUAGGAAAUGCUGAAACCAUAGCUCCCUUUAUUCUAGGCGGUGAUUAGCCAAAAUGAAAAAGGAGAAUAAGGCAAAAUAGAACCAAAGAGAAUGACAGUUAAUGAUAACAAGCAGACUAUGUGGGAGGAAAGAAGUUUUUGGAAACCAGUUGAAGAAAUCUGCUGCCUCCCUGGAGAUGUUUGCCCACAGUUAUAUUCCAUCAUCAACUGUAGAUCCUUUUGAUUUUGAAGCAUACUGAUUUCAGGAUCUGCUAAAAAUAAAUAUUUGCCUUAUUAAUGUUGGGACUGUAGCUCCAAGACGCAAAAUAAUAUUUCUGAGGUAUCAGCUUGAUGUCCUGUAACCCAAGUCUUUUGACUUUGACAUCACCUCUCAGCCCUUAAAGCAUAAGCAGAGACAGAUUGUUCUGCAAAGAAUGACACCUCCUUUAAGAAAACAUUCUGUUGCCUCAUUAUUUCUGUUUUGUAAUUACUUGUUCACAUCUCCCUGUCUCUGCUGCUGGAAUAAUUGCUAAGCUGAGGCACCGUCAUAACACGUGGACUGCUCUCUCUCUCCUUCGCGUUGGUCUUCACUGGUCUCCGUGCUGUAAUCAGAAACAUCUUUCAAAAACGAAGACCUGACUGUGCCAACCUAUUCAAACUCUUUACAUGUUUUAGAAAUUUUAAGAUCUUCAACUUUUCCAGUUUCAUUUUGUUCUUUGCAUGUGUACCUUGGGCUCCGGCAGAAAUGAACUCCUCACAGCUCUCUGCAGCUUCUCUCUAAGCAAUGGUGUAUGCAUUGCAUUGAUUGCUGACUUCUAUCUAGUUGUCUGUACCCUGUCUGAUCCUUAAGCUUCUUGAACCCAAAGACUACACCUGUGAAUUACACUGUAUAUCUACACCUAGCAGCACAACAGAUUGAGUGCCUACAAACAGGUUGAACAUGUACUUGUGUUUAUUUUAAAGAAUAGAAAAAGACCAAAUGCUUCAUUAAUUGGUGGACUUGAGGAUGUACAUAAGAGAUACAUGGAAGAAAGUAAAAACUGAGACUCAGUGGUAAGAAGAAAAUUAAUAACAACAACAAUAAAAGAUAUGUUGCUCUGGGCUAAAACUGACGGCCCACACAAAUCAAUCUUGAUUUAGCUGCCUUUCUGGACCAAUAGCCUCAUUGUACAUGAAACCUCAUUAACGCUCUCAAGGGAUCGAAGUACUUGAUGUCUGGACCAUGAACAAAGCACAAUCAACUUUGCAUGAUCUACUCUAGAAAGGAAAAG
rnacentral:lncRNA from 10 species